GACGAACGCUGGCGGCGUGCUUAACACAUGCAAGUCGAACGGACAGGCCCUGCUUUUGUGGGGUGCUCGAGUGGCGAACGGGUGAGUAACACGUGAGUAACCUGCACUUGACUUUGGGAUAACUUCAGGAAACUGGGGCUAAUACAGCAUAUGAGCUCCUGAUGCAUGGUGGGGGUUGGAAAGUUUCGGCGGUUGGGGCUGGACUAGCGGCUUAUGAGCUUGUUUGGGAGGUAGGGGCUUACCAAGGUUUUGAAGGGUAGCAGGCCUUGGAAGGUGACCAGGCACAAUGGGCCUGAGAGACGCAGCAGACGGCUAUGGUAGGCAGAAGGAGGGAAUAUUGCACAGUAGGGGGAAGCCUGAUACAGAGACCUCGCGUGCGGGAUGACGUCUUUCGGGUUGUAAACCGCUUUCGCCUGUGACGUAGCGGGAGUGACGGUAAUGGGUAAAAAAGCACCGGCUAACUACGUG
rnacentral:rRNA from 1 species